AUUGAACGCUGGCGGCAGGCUUAACACAUGCAAGUCGAGCGGGGGAGGUUGCUUCGGUAACUGACCUAGCGGCGGACGGGUGAGUAAUACUUAGGAAUCUGCCUAUUAAUGGGGGACAACAUCUCGAAAGGGAUGCUAAUACCGCAUACGCCCUACGGGGGCAAGCAGGGAAUCACUUGUUACCUUGCGUUAAUAGAUGAGCCUAAGUCGGAUUAGCUAGUUGGUGGGGUAAAGGCCUACCAAGGCGACGAUCUGUAGCGGGUCUGAGAGGAUGAUCCGCCACACUGGGACUGAGACACGGCCCAGACUCCUACGGGAGGCAGCAGUGGGGAAUAUUGGACAAUGGGGGGAACCCUGAUCCAGCCAUGCCGCGUGUGUGAAGAAGGCCUUAUGGUUGUAAAGCACUUUAAGCGAGGAGGAGGCUCUUUUGGUUAAUACUCAAGAUGAGUGGACGUUACUCGCAGAAUAAGCACCGGCUAACUCUGUGCCAGCAGCCGCCGCCGUAA
rnacentral:rRNA from 1 species